CAGAGGGUGCAAGCGUUGUUCGGAAUUAUUGGGCGUAAAGCGCGUGUAGGCGGCUUUGCAAGUCGGGUGUGAAAUCCCUCAGCUUAACUGAGGAAGUGCGCCCGAAACUGCAGAGCUUGAGUGCCGGAGAGGGUGGCGGAAUUCCCCAAGUAGAGGUGAAAUUCGUAGAUAUGGGGAGGAACACCGGUGGCGAAGGCGGCCACCUGGCCGGUAACUGACGCUGAGACGCGAAAGCAUGGGGAGCAAACAGGAUUAGAUACCCUGGUAGUCCAUGCCGUAAACGAUGAGAACUAGGUGUCGUGGGUGUUGACCCCCGCGGUGCCGUAGCUAACGCAUUAAGUUCUCCGCCUGGGAAGUACGGCCGCAAGGCUA
rnacentral:rRNA from 1 species